UACAGAGGGUGCGAGCGUUGUCCGGAAUCACUGGGCGUAAAGGGCGCGUAGGCGGCCUGAUAAGUAGGGGGUGAAAUCCUGCGGCUCAACCGCAGGGCUGCCUUCUAAACUGUCAGGCUGGAGCACGGUAGAGGCAGAUGGAAUUCCCGGUGUAGCGGUGGAAUGCGUAGAGAUCGGGAAGAACACCAGUGGCGAAGGCGGUCUGCUGGGCCGUUGCUGACGCUGAGGCGCGACAGCGUGGGGAGCAAACGGG
rnacentral:rRNA from 1 species